rnacentral:rRNA from 1 species
GACGAACGCUGGCGGUGGGCUUAACACAUGCAAGUCGAACGGAAAGGCCCUGCUAGCUUGGUGUGCUCGAGGGCCGAACGGGGGCGGAAGACGAAAGUAACCGGCCCUACUUUUUCGGGGAAGUUCAGGAAAGGGGGGUUAAUACCAUACAGGAUCUGCCCCUCGGUUGAAAGGGGGGGAUAUUUUCGGCGGUUGCGGAUGGAUUCGCGGCUGAUCGGCUUGUUGGUUGGCGAGUUGCUUGCCAAGGCUUUGACGGGUAGCCCGCAUGAGAGGGUGACCGGCCACAUUGGGACUGAGAUACGGCCCAGACUCCUACGGGAGGCAGCAGUGGGGAAUAUUGCACAAUGGGCGGAAGCCUGAUGCAGAAACGCCGCGUGCGGGAUGACGGCCUUCGGGUUGUAAACCGCUUUCGCCUGUGACGAAGCGUGAGUGACGGUAAUGGGUAAAGAAGCACCGGCUAACUACGUG